AUGCAUGGCUCCUUGCAAACUGAAAAUGUGUGCAUGGAAAAAGCCAGAAUUAUCAUUUUGCAUAGGGUUUUUACUGCUACUGUUUUACGUGUUAAUUUUGCGUUUCAAGAAAUUACAAAAGCCCUGAAAAGUGUUGCAUAUAAGCUUUAAUUUAGACUGAGUUGACCAAUAUUUGCCAUGUAAUUACGUACUAAUUUAACAUUAUUAAAGCUGCAGUAUGUAACUUUUAUAAAGAAUAAGAUUUUUGUGCAUAUUUGUCAAAACUGUCAUGCUGAGCUCAAUCUUUUUCCACUGGUUAUCUGUUUCAUACAAUACUGUCACAACAUUGUGAUAUUUUCAACAAAUAUAUAAAACAAUAUAUUUUUUAAUAGUUACAUACUGCAGCUUUAACACCGGGAGCUGGUUUGAAAUAGUUCUCUGUGUUUCGUAGAUAACUGGAGUCACAUAAACUUACUCUUUCUUCUACAGGAACUGAGGCCUCAACAGAGAUAAAAAUAUGUCUGGAAGGAUGGAUGGAAAUGACAUGGAAAUACCCUUGUGAUGAACAAAAAUAUGAUAAACUCAAAGUAAUUUUACCAACUAAAACCAUACAGAUCAAUCAGACAGACAAAUGGGAAAAAAGUGGCAAAUAUUUUUUUUACCAUGAUACAUUGGAAAAAUAUCUUAGACUAAAGGUAUGGCCUUUUAACUCCAAGGACAAUGGAACUUAUGGAUUUAAUUGUGAUGAAAACGCAAAAAAGAGUGAAGUAAAGAUUGUUGAAAAAACACACAUGCAAGACACUCAAUCAAACUGCUUACCGAACAGCUAAAACGACCAUCAAAUGUGAUUAUCCAGAUAUGUAUCUGUCCAAAACCAAGUUCAUCUGCAAAGAAAACAACUUCACUUGUAAGAGUAUCUUAACAACAAAAUCAUCUAAAAAUUCAACAGGAAGAUUCACCCUGACUCAUACAAGCAGCGACUUCAAUUUGUCAAUUAGUCCUGUGUCCUUUAACGAUGCUGGUGUUUAUUGGUGUGGAGUGAUAGAAAGCAAUGGCAGUUACCAAGCUGGAAUCUCAAAAAUACAGCUGGAGGUUAAAAAUAUCACGAUGUUCCCAAGAUUGAGAGCUCCAGGACAAGAUUUAAAAUAUUAUUGCAAAUACGGAAGCAAUUUCUCUAACCUGACAAAAUGUAUCUGUAAGGGAGAGAAUCAAAAUGAAUGUCAGGAUGUUGGAAGCACCACAAAUAACAUGAGUAGGAGGUUUAUGAUGAAGGACAACAAAAUAAACAACACCAUCACCAUAGAAGUG